CCUACGGGAGGCAGCAGUGGGGAAUUUUGCGCAAUGCUCGUAAGACUGACGCAGCGACGCCGCGUGAAUGAUGAAGGCCUUCUGGUUGUAAAGUUCCUUCGACAGGGAAGAAAAUUCCUAUAAGUAACUGUGUAUGUAUUUACGGUACCUGUAUAAGCAGCCUCGGCUCACUCCGGGCCAGCAGCCGCGGUAAUACGGAGGGGGCGGGUGCUGUUCGGUGUGUGUGGGCGUAAAGAGAACGUAGGCGGUGUUGUAAGCCAGUCGUCAAAGACUAGAGCUCAACUUUAGUAAGGCGGGUGAUACUAGCAUACUAGAGUAUGAGGGAGGUAUGCGGAAUUCGUGGUGUAGCGGUGAAAUGCGUAGAUAUCAGGAAGAAUACCGUUAGCGAAGGCAGCAAACUGGCUGGAAACUGACGCUGAGGUGCGAAGGCGUGGGUAGCAAACAGGAUUAGAUACCCCUGUAGUC
rnacentral:rRNA from 1 species